rnacentral:miRNA from 1 species
GUGGGUUUAUGUGUAGUAUGUGUGUGUGUGUAUAUGGACAUGCGCAUGCACACACAGACACAUACACACACAUAU